UGUCAUGCCAAUGGCACUGCCCGGUAGCUAAAUGCGGAAGAGAUAAGUGCUGAAAGCAUCUAAGCACGAAACUUGCCCCGAGAUGAGUUCUCCCUGACCCUUUAAGGGUCCUGAAGGAACGUUGAAGACGACGACGUUGAUAGGCCGGGUGUGUAAGCGCAGCGAUGCGUUGAGCUAACCGGUACUAAUGAACCGUGAGGCUUAACCUUACAACGCCGAAGCUGUU
rnacentral:rRNA from 1 species